UACGAAGGGGGCUAGCGUUGCUCGGAAUCACUGGGCGUAAAGGGUGCGUAGGCGGGUCUUUAAGUCAGGGGUGGAAUCCUGGAGCUCAACUCCAGAACUGCCUUUGAUACUGAAGAUCUUGAGUUCGGGAGAGGUGAGUGGAACUGCGAGUGUAGAGGUGAAAUUCGUAGAUAUUCGCAAGAACACCAGUGGCGAAGGCGGCUCACUGGCCCGAUACUGACGCUGAGGAGCGAAAGCAUGGGUAGCGAACAGG
rnacentral:rRNA from 1 species